AUUGAACGCUGGCGGCAGGCCUAACACAUGCAAGUCGAACGAGUGGCGGACGGGUGAGUAAUAUCUGGGACACUGCCUGAUGGAGGGGGAUAACUACUGGAAACUGUAGCUAAUACCGCCUACCAUCGGAUGUGCCCUGUUGGGAUGAGCUAGUAGGUGGGGUAAAGGCCCACCUAGGCGCCGAUCCCUAGCUGGUCUGAGAGGAUGACCAGCCACACGGGAACUGAGACACGGACCAAACUCCGACGGGAGGCAGCGUUGGGGAAUAUUGCACAAGUGGCGCAAGCGUGAUGCAGCCAUGCGGCGUGUAUGAAGAAGGCCUUCGGUGUGUAAAGUACUUUCAGCGGGGAGGCGUUACCCGCAGAAGAAGCACCGACUAACUCCGUGCCAGCAGCCGCGGUAAUUC
rnacentral:rRNA from 1 species